rnacentral:lncRNA from 10 species
GAUCACUUGAGUCCAGGAGUUCGAGACCAGCCUGGGCAACAUGGUGAAACCCCGUCUCUACCAAAAAUACAAAAAUUAGCCAGGUGUGGUGGCACGCAUCUGUAAUCCCAGCUAUUUGGGAGGCUGAGGCACGAGAAUUGCUUAAACCGGGAGGCGAGAUUGUGUCACUGCACUCCAAUCUGGGCAACAGAGAGAGACUGUGUCUCAAAAAAAUGAAAGCCCAAAAGACACAACAAAAAACAGUCCCUGUCCUUAGGAAGCCUCUGUUCAGGUGAGCCAGCUUAAUGUUACUAUAGCAGAGUCAGUUAGGUGCUUUUGAGAUCAGGCAUGAGAUACAUCUGCUAAUUAAUUUUCCAACAGCCCUAUCAGGGCCUGUACCAGAGACCACUUAAUUGUCUGUGCAUGUGCAAAUACACGUCCACUUUUACACAUCUACAUGCCUACAUUUAGUAUACAGUUCAGAAUCACUAGAAAGACACACAUUGCUUCUGUAUAUACUUGUGUUUCGGGUUGAGGGACAAGGCUAAUCUGAACCCUCUUCUGUCUCUGCCAAUUACAAACUAUGCAACCUUGGGCAACCUCUUAACCCUUUAGAGCUUUAAUUUCCUCGCCUUUAAAAUGAAUUUAAUGAAAAUCUACUUCACAGGGUUGUUAUCAGGAUUACAACUGCUGCCAUCUUACAUUGAUUUAGGGCUUUGCAUUUUGCAAAGAGUCAUACAUACAUAUAACACUCCAUUUAAUUUCCCAGUGGCCCUAUCAGAUAGGUGGUAGUGAAUGAGAGAAAGCUGAGGUUCAGAGAGGUUAAGCAGCCCAAGGCUGCUGGGGGAUUAAUAUGGGGCUUUGCCCUUUUUCUUCUGACCCCCAAAACAUCUUACUAAUAUCCUAAAAGGUGUGUGAAGAGCCCCAUGCUCCCAGGUUGUGACGCCAAUGAAGAGAUGAAAGCAGGGGCAG